CGCUAUGGCUGUUCUCACUCCCGAGCGGGUCGGGGACUGCAGAGCCCAGCCGGUCCUGACACCGCGCCGACGCACUCCGGUGACCCACGUCCUGAUGUUUCCUCCAAUCAGAUGAGAUGGCAAACCUCAGGCCUCUGAGCAACUAAAUAAAGGCCACGAUGCUGGUGAGACCUAUUAAAAAGAGAAGAAAAAGGUGGAGGAAUGGAAAUGUGAAGAUAGAGAAAUGAGUAGGGAGAUAGAGAACAAAAUUGGAAAAAGAGUUGGAAAUAAUACUGUUAUUUUGAAAAAUGAAAGAAAAUAGUGCUAAUUUACCAUAAACCUAUAGGAUCUUCCUCUUCUGUCCUAGAAGAUUCCUCUUGUCUUUCUAGGUUGUUCCUUGUCUUGUCAUAGAAGUAAGGCAGUAAGAUGGGUGGCAAUGUGCCUGUUCUUACCUAAUUGAUUUAUUAAUCUUUGUGUGCAUAUUGGAAGUACCUUAAAGUAUUUAUGUAUCAGGUAUAUGAUUGGAUCCAUGCUUGUUACCCUCUAGAAUUUUCAAAUUGUGUCUUGCACCUUGCGCAGUGACUUAAAACUGAACCUCAGAAACAUGCCAAUUUUUGUCCCAUUUACUAUUAAGGAUUAUUAUCUGCAAAAGUUAUUUCAUGACCCUACAAACUAUUUUGAACUUCCUAGAACAUAAAGCUGUAAAAACUGUAUUAUGAAUUGAGUUGCUAUAUGUCAAUAGCAAUAAAAAUCCUCUAAUUUAUCAUAA